AGAGUUUGAUCCUGGCUCAGGACGAACGCUGGCGGCGUGCUUAAUACAUGCAAGUCGAGCGAGGCCUUGGAAUUGGAGUCCUUCGGGAUGAAGAGUCCUUGGCCUAGCGGCGGACGGGUGAGUAACGCGUGGGCAACCUACCCCAAAGUCCGGGAUAACAGUGGGAAACCGCUGCUAAUACCGGAUGACUUUACCUGAGGGCAUCCUUGGGUAAAGAAAGGUUACGCUUUGGGAUGGGCCCGCGUCCCAUUAGCUAGUUGGUGAGGUAACGGCUCACCAAGGCGACGAUGGGUAGCCGGCCUGAGAGGGUGAACGGCCACACUGGGACUGAGACACGGCCCAGACUCCUACGGGAGGCAGCAGUAGGGAAUAUUGCGCAAUGGGCGGAAGCCUGACGCAGCGACGCCGCGUGAGCGAAGAAGGCCUUCGGGUCGUAAAGCUCUGUCCUUGGGGAAGAAGGCGAAAGCUUGACGGUACCCAAGAAGAAAGCCCCGGCUAACUACGUGCCAGCAGCCGCGGUAAUACGUAGGGGGCGAGCGUUGUCCGGAAUUACUGGGCGUAAAGGGUGCGUAGGCGGCCUUUUAAGUCAGAUGUGAAAGGCUGCGGCUUAACCGCAGGACUGCAUUUGAAACUGGAAGGCUUGAGUGUCGGAGAGGGUAGUGGAAUUCCCAGUGUAGCGGUGAAAUGCGUAGAUAUUGGGAGGAACACCAGUGGCGAAGGCGACUACCUGGACGAUAACUGACGCUGAGGCACGAAAGCUAGGGGAGCAAACAGGAUUAGAUACCCUGGUAGUCCUAGCCGUAAACGAUGGGUACUAGGUGUAGGUGGUUUCGAUACCAUCUGUGCCGCAGUUAACGCAAUAAGUACCCCGCCUGGGGAGUACGGUCGCAAGACUGAAACUCAAUGAAUUGACGG
rnacentral:rRNA from 1 species